UACGUAGGGAGCAAGCGUUGUUCGGAUUUACUGGGCGUAAAGGGCGCGUAGGCGGCAAAUUAAGUCAGCUGUGAAAUCUCCGAGCUUAACUCGGAACGGUCAGCUGAUACUGCUUUGCUAGAGUGCAGAAAGGGCAAUCGGAAUUCUUGGUGUAGCGGUGAAAUGCGUAGAUAUCAGGAGGAACACCGGUGGCGAAGGCGGAUCUCUGGGCCUUACCUGACGCUCAGGUGCGAAAGCUAGGGGAGCGAACAGG
rnacentral:rRNA from 1 species